rnacentral:rRNA from 1 species
UACGUAGGGUGCAAGCGUUGUCCGGAAUUAUUGGGCGUAAAGAGCUCGUAGGCGGUCUGUCGCGUCUGCUGUGAAAACUCAGGGCUUAACCCUGAGCUUGCAGUGGGUACGGGCAGACUAGAGUGCGGUAGGGGAGACUGGAAUUCCUGGUGUAGCGGUGAAAUGCGCAGAUAUCAGGAGGAACACCGGUGGCGAAGGCGGGUCUCUGGGCCGUAACUGACGCUGGAGGAGCGAAAGCAUUGGGGAGCGAACAGGA